CACAAGCGGUGGAGCAUGUGGUUUAAUUCGAAGACAACGCGAAGAACCUUACCAGGCCUUGACAUGCAGAGAACUUUCCAGAGAUGGAUUGGUGCCUUCGGGAACUCUGACACAGGUGCUGCAUGGCUGUCGUCAGCUCGUGUCGUGAGAUGUUGGGUUAAGUCCCGUAACGAGCCGCAACCCUUGUCCUUAGUUACCAGCACGUUAUGGUGGGCACUCUAAGGAGACUGCCGGUGACAAACCGGAGGAGGGUGGGGAUGACGUCAAGUCAGCAUGGCCCUUACGUCCGGGGCUACACACGUGCUACAAUGGCCGGUACAAAGGGUUGCGAAGCCGUGAGGUGGAGCGAAUCUCAAAAAGCCGGCCUCAGUUCGGAUUGGAGGCUGCAACUCGCCUCCAUGAAGUCGGAAUCGCUAGUAACCGCAGAUCAGCUACGUUGCGGUGAAUACGUUCCCGGGCCUU
rnacentral:rRNA from 1 species